GAUGAACGCUGGCGGCGUGCUUAAUACAUGCAAGUCGAACGGAGUAUGUAGCAAUACGUACUUAGUGGCGAACGGGUGAGUAACGCGUUGGUGACCUGCCUCGAAGAGAGGGAUAACAGUCCGAAAGGAUUGCUAAUACCUCAUGUGAUCAUAGAGUUUAGAAAUCUAUGAUUAAAGGAGUAAUUCACUUCGAGAGGGGCCUGCGUACCAUCAGCUAGUUGGUGAGGUAAUGGCCCACCAAGGCGAUGACGGUUAGGGGACCUGAGAGGGUGGCCCCCCACAAUGGAACUGAAACACGGUCCAUACACCUACGGGUGGCAGCAGUAGGGAAUAUUAGUUAAUGUGCGAAAGCGCGAACUAGCAACGCCGCGUGUGCGAUGAAGGCCUUCGGGUCGUAAAGCACUUUUCUAGGGGAUGAGGAAGGACAGUACCUUAGGAAUAAGCAUCGGCUAACUACGUGCCAGCCGCCGCCGUAACAC
rnacentral:rRNA from 1 species